CGACGUCGCCGGCGCUGCGUACGACGCCGCCGCCUGCCGUGUACGUGCCGUGGAUUGCCCGUGGACGCUCAACCAAUCUGCAAUGAGUUAUCCCCGUUCCUUAUUUCAACAGCUAUUAGAUGAAUCCUCAUCUGACGAUGAUGAUGAAUUUUUAUUGGCGACAACACAAAUCUUGUAUUCAUAUGAACACUCUAUUAAUUUACCAAAACAUGGUGGGUUUAUUGCUAGACGAUUGACCGUAGCCGAGAAGCACGACACUUGAGAUUAUACCACGAUUACUUCUCCGAUAAUCCGACUUACGGGCCGAUUUAUUUUAGACGCAGGUUUAGAAUGAGUCGUUCUCUUUUUGUACGCAUAAUGAAUACAGUAGAGCAACAUGAUGACUAUUUUGUGCAGAAGAGAAAUGCAGCUGGCGUACUUGGAUUAAGUUGUUUGCAGAAGGUCACUGUAGCGCUUCGUCAAUUGUCUUACGGUGUAGCUGCAGAUGCUGUAGAUGAUUAUUGUGGCCUUGGUGAAAGUACCGCUCUUGAGAGUUUGAGAAGAGAAAAGAGGGUUCCCUGGAAUGUUAGGUUCUAUAGAUUGCAUGCAUUGGAAGUGGAAGAAUUGCCCUUCAGCAUUUCAAGAUGGCAUAUACCCAUCUUGGGCGACAUUUGCCAAAACCAUACCAGAACCACAGGGUAAUAAGAGAAAAUAUUUUGCAAAAGCACAAGAAGCGGUAAGAAAGGACGUGGAACGAGCCUUUGGGAUUCUACAAGCUCGUUUUGCCAUUGUUCGUGGGUCGGCUCGAUCAUGGGAUGAAGAGACACUGGGAUAUAUUAUGAAAGCGUGUGUCAUCAUGCAUAAUAUGAUAAUAGAAGAUGAGGGAGAAGUGGAUCCUAGAGAACGGUUCGAUGAGGGAGGAGAAAAUGUUAGAUUUUCACAUGAUGAAACACUGGAUCUCGAGGAAUUUAUUAAGACACACAAAAAAAUAAGGGACAAUGAAACGCACCAUCAGCUACGAGAAGACCUAGUAGAGCACUUGUGGCAACAUCAUCCAGAUGAUUAUUCAUGAAUCACAUUGUAUUAUAUAAAUUCAGUGUGACUCUGUUAAAAUUAUUUUUAUUUCAGCUAUCUUCUAAGGAACUAUUGUAAUCUAUAUUGGAUUCAACGUGUCUUGAUGCACCAGUAUUUCCUAAAGUUAUGGUUUCAUAACUUG